GCUUAUUCUCAGGGCGGGGCGAAAUUCCCCACCGGCGGUAAAUCAGCUGACGCUGAAAGCCCGCGAGCGCUUCUGGCCGCCAGGCCGAAGGUCAGCAGAUCCGGUGUAAUUCCGGAGCCGACGGUCAGAGUCCGGAUGGGAGAGAGUAACG
rnacentral:ncRNA from 1 species